rnacentral:rRNA from 1 species
AACGAACGCUGGCGGCGCGCCUAAUACAUGCAAGUCGAGCGAGAAGACGUAGCAAUACGUUUGUAAAGCGGCGAACGGGUGAGGAAUACAUGGGUAACCUACCCUCGAGUGGGGAAUAACUAGCCGAAAGGUUAGCUAAUACCGCGUACGCUCCUUGGACUUCGGUUCAGGGAGGAAAGCGAUACCGUGGGUAUCGCGCUCUUGGAUGGGCUCAUGUCCUAUCAGCUUGUUGGUGAGGAACGGCUCACCAAGGCUUCGACGGGUAGCUGGUCUGAGAGGACAAUCAGCCACACUGGCACUGCGACACGGGCCAGACUCCUACGGGAGGCAGCAGUAAGGAAUAUUGCGCAAUGGGCGAAAGCCUGACGCAGCGACGCCGCGU